GACGAACGCUGGCGGCGUGCUUAACACAUGCAAGUCGAACGGAAAGGCCCUGCUUUUGUGGGGUGCUCGAGUGGCGAACGGGUGAGUAACACGUGAGUAACCUGCCCUUGACUUUGGGAUAACUUCAGGAAACUGGGGUAAUUAAUGUAUGGUACUUCUGCCUGGUGGGUGGUGGUUGGAACGUUUCGGCGUUUGGGGAUGGACUCGCGGCUUAUCAGUUUGUUGGGGGGGUAGUGGCUUACCAAGGCUUUGACGGGUAGCCGGCCUGAGAGGGCGACCGGCCACAUGGGGACUGAGAUACGGCCGAGACUCCUACGGGAGGGAGGAGUGGGGAAUAUUGCACAAGGGGCGGACGCGUGAUGCAGAAACGCCGCGUGCGGGAUGACGGCCUUCGGGUUGUACACCGCUUUCGCCUGUGACGAAGCGUGGGUGACGGUAAUGGGUAAAGAAGAACCGGCUAACUACGG
rnacentral:rRNA from 1 species